UGCACGGAUCCCCUGGGAGAAGCCAACCUGUUUUUCAGGCUGAAGUGGAAUUCGGUGCAAGCUGAGAGUCUCUGCCUUCCUCACAACAGGGGCAACUUCAGGUUAUGGAAGAACUAACAUUUCUUCGACUCAGUUCUGUGUAGUGUUAUUGGUGGACAAAGAGCUCCAUGUUUUGACUUGAAAGCCACUAUCUACUGGGAUGAACCCCAUUCCCAUCUUAACCAGGUAUUGUCUGCCCUCCCUCAAUGUGCAUUUACCCACACGAGUUUUUAUUAAAGUAUGGGCAGGGCUUGGCACUCCACUGCAAGAAGGAAGUGAUCACCUUGACUCUGACUUGUAGCCACUAUGUGUGCCCACCAACCAGAUCAGAACCCACUGCAUCUGGUUGAUCAGUUUUGGUCUGGUAGAGUCACUUCAUUGACUUUUACUGACGUAGAAGCCACACUUGCACUCCCAGGCUACACCCCUGACAUCCUUCUCAAUGCCACCACCCGCAGGCUGCUGCUGCUUGUCUGUGUCCAUUUCUAGAGUUCAUUUGGGACUUUUUUGGGAGAUGUGAGAAAAGUAACCUGACAGGAAAAAAACAAAAUGGUUUCUAGGAGCAUCUCAAGAGCUGACUGAUGCUUUUGUUUCAUAAUUUGCUAUGGCUAGAGGGACAAACUUUCAGAUAUUGAGAUACAGAAGUAGAACCUAACAAUUUUUUUUUUUUAAUAAAAGCCCAGUGUUGUAAAUCUUACUGGCUAAAGUGCACAGGGGUCCCUGAAAAAAUGACAGAUCAGAAAUGGUCUUAUAUCUUACACGGGUGAUUGCAGGGCCCCUAGAUCAGGUAGACAUGAGUCAUCACUAUGCCAAGUACAAAUUGGCUUAACAGAUCUUCGGGUAGUUAUUUUCAGAAGAUUUUAUGAGCCCAAUUAUAUGUCCUUGUGUCUAGAAAAGCACUAAAAGCACUGUGACAUCUGCUUGUGACUAGCACCAAGCAAAAUGUGUGCCUGACUGCACAUCCCCCUUCACUAAAAUCAUGUACAUACUGACCUUCCCCUGCUUCUUAGGGGCAGUUCUGUACAGCUGUCUGAUGCUGCCUCCCAGUUUAUAGUCCUCAUUAUACUCCAGAUAAACUUAACUCACAGCUCUCAUGGUGUGCUUUUUUCUUCCCCCAGUGAACAACUAAGUCCUUACCAAGUCCUGUGCUCAUCAAACAAGACCCUCAGUUAGGGAAAUUGUGGCCCUUUGAAGAAGUACCCAGAAAGGUACUUUUGCUACAACCCAAGCACCUUCCAGUUAGAGUCCUUGCCACUUUCUGCCCUGGGACCAGGGUGCCCCUUGUGAGAGGCUCAUGCCAGCAGGAGGCAGGGGGGUGGCUAUGCCUAAGGUAGGAGCAGUGACCAUAACUUCCAGUGAGUUGGUGGUGGUCUGAAUGGAAGACUUUAUCUGCACAGAGUCUGAAAUCACCCCUUGUGUGGGGGCAUGGGGAACAGCCACGUGGGGGACAGCUCUGUGUCCUGUGAGUCUGGGCCUUACCUCACCACUGUCUGGAAACACCCCACUGUGCUGUUGAGAAUUCCCAGGAACUUUCCAGUCCCAAGUUACACUACAAACCUGAGAGAAUCGCCAGCAUGGAGAAAUUCAGGAAUCUGUAG